rnacentral:rRNA from 1 species
CCUACGGGAGGCUGCAGUGAGGAAUAUUGGUCAAUGGACGAGAGUCUGAACCAGCCAAGUAGCGUGAAGGAUGACUGCCCUAUGGGUUGUAAACUUCUUUUAUCUGGGAAUAAAAUGUUCCACGUGUGGGAUUUUGUAUGUACCAUAUGAAUAAGGAUCGGCUAACUCCGUGCCAGCCGCCGCGGUAAUACGGAGGAUACGAGGGUUGUCCGGAUUUAUUGGGUUUAAGGGGAGCGUAGGUGGAUUGUUAAGUCAGUUGUGAAAGUUUGCGGCUCAACCGUAAAAUUGCAUUUGACACGGGCAGUCUUGAGUACAGUAGAGGUAGGCGGAAUUCGUGGUGUAGCGGUGAAAUGCUUAGAUAUCACGAAGAACUCCGAUUGCGAAGGCAGUUCACUGGACUGCAACUGACACUGAGGCUCGAAAGUGUGGGUAUCAAACAGGAUUAGAUACCCGGGUAGUC